UCCGGGUUGAUCCUGCCAGAGGUUACUGCUAUCGGUGUUCGACUAAGCCAUGCGAGUCAUAUGUUCUUCGUGAACAUGGCGGACUGCUCAGUAACACGUGGAUAACCUGCCCUUAGGUUCGGCAUAACUCCGGGAAACUGGAGAUAAUUCCGAAUAGGUCACAUAUGCUGGAAUGCUUUUUGACCAAAAGACCUCGGUUGCCUAAGGAUGGAUCUGCGGUCUAUCAGGUAGUAGUGGGUGUAACGUACCUACUAGCCUACGACGGAUAUGGGUUGUGAGAGCAAGAGCCCAGAGAUGGAUUCUGAGACAUGAAUCCAGGCCCUACGGGGCGCAGCAGGCGCGAAAACUUUACAAUGCGGGAAACCGCGAUAAGGGGACACCGAGUGCCAGCAUUUAUGUUGGCUGUCCACAUGUGUAAACGGCAUGUGUUAGCAAGGGCCGGGCAAGACCGGUGCCAGCCGCCGCGGUAACACCGGCGGCCCGAGUGGUAAUCACU
rnacentral:rRNA from 1 species